rnacentral:lncRNA from 1 species
AAUAAAAAGUUCCCCUAGCAGCCUUUAUGCAAAACGGUGAAGUAGAAUACUGGUGGCAACUUAAGAAGGAAGUCCUACCUACCCCUACCACCUGAAAAGUUUUCAUAGAUGCAUUCUUUAAUAACUUCUUCCCUGCCUAUGUUUGAGAAAAUAAGAAGAAGUUAAUUUAAGAUCUUCACCAAGGAAACCUAACGGUUGCCCUGCAUGCAGCCCAUUUUGUCCAGCUGUCUAGAUUCGCCCCUCUAAUGGUCACCCCUGAAAGUAAAAAAGGUAGGAAGUUUCUAAAGGGUCUUCGUGCUGACAUCUAUGAUUGAGUUAUGAUG